rnacentral:misc_RNA from 1 species
GAACUGCGAUAAGCAAUAUGAAUUGCAGAAUUCCGCGAGUCAUCAGAUCUUUGAACGCAACUGGCGCUGAGGGGCUAUCCUCUCAGCAUGCUUGUUUCAGUGUGUUUGUUUACCUCUCACACAACUAAAUGCGAUUGAAACUACACGUAGUUUCUCUUGUUAAACUUGAGAGAUGGGCUGGUAGCUCACGCCCAACGAAGCGGUCACUUUGCAAAAAGUGAUUUCGUUGCAAGCGACUACCAUAAAAGGUCCUCUCAGAAUCUAAACAAUCUCCAAUCAGCACCUGAAAUCAAGCAACAUUACCCGCUGAACUUAA